rnacentral:rRNA from 1 species
GACGAACGCUGGCGGCGUGCUUAACACAUGCAAGUCGAACGGAAAGGCCCCCUUGUGGGGUACUCGAGUGGCGAACGGGUGAGUAACACGUGAGUAACCUACCCUUGACUUUGGUAUAACUUCAGGAAACUGGGGCUAAUACCAGAUAGGAGCUCCUGCUGCUUGGUGGGGGUUGGAAAGUUUCGGCGGUUGGGGAUGGACUCGCGGCUUAUCAGCUUGUUGGUGGGGUAGUGGCUCACCAAGGCUUUGACGGGUAGCCGGCCUGAGAGGGUGACCGGCCACAUUGGGACUGAGAUACGGCCCAGACUCCUACGGGAGGCAGCAGUGGGGAAUAUUGCACAAUGGGCGGAAGCCUGAUGCAGCAACGCCGCGUGCGGGAUGACGGCCUUCGGGUUGUAAACCGCUUUCGCCUGUGACGAAGCGUGAGUGACGGUAAUGGGUAAAGAAGCACCGGCUAACUACGUG